ACGUUGGUUAUUAUUACUAUCGGCACAGAUGGGCUUUCCCGGAACGCCGUGCGCCGCAGGAGUCCCUCUUUCACCGGCGGUACUCGGGCCUGCUCCCCUCGCUCCUGUCUGGCCAGGCCAAGAACCGCCAGUGAAUUCCUCUCCAGCACCUCCUCCCCGACCUCCUGCUCCCGUCCUUUGUGCUUGAAAAACACCUUCGUAUUCAUCUCUGCUCCCUCCGUAAUCUCUGAGGGGAUCCAGAGACAGCGGCUGGACUGACACCCCAGCAAGACCAAGAGAUUUCCACAGAUUCCCCAGAUUGGGUGCAGCAAGUGUGUGGCUUCCCACCCACACACUGCCCUACAAGGGGGCAUCCGGGAGGACCCCUCUCCACAGCAGGAAGGAGACACAGUGUGGCCCAAUGGGCAGGGCACCAGCCUAGCAAUCAGGAGACCUGGCAUCUAGUCCCAACUCUGCUGCAUGCCCGUAGGCAAAUCACUUCCCUUGUCUUUCUAGAUUGUAGGUUUGUGCAGCGCCUAGCACACUGGGGUGCUGAUCUCAUUUGGGGCCUGGCCGCGCCUCGCAGAUCAAGCGCCACCCGGCAUGAUCUCUAGAUAGAUCCUCAAGAUGGUCUGGCUGCAUGUUCAAUCUCCAUCCCUCAGUGGCGAUCUGACUGCCGCACCAAAGCUCCUGGCGCCUGCGUGAGCACCAGCUGCGUUUGAGUGGGUUACACGGGUGUGUCUGUCCCGGCCAGCCCCUUGUGGGCAGAAUCAGCCUGGCUGUGGCCAGCCCCACAUUGCUAAUGGAGACUCACCACUGCACAGCACCGCCUCGGAAAUUCCCAGCACCAGCGGGGCUGGACCUCAGAGCCAAACACCCAGGUCCCUCUCCCCUGUAUUAAGGGAGCAGCCCCCUCUCUCCCAACAGCAAUGGUAGGGCUGUUACCUGCAGGUAGCCACUCGAGGGUCUCUCCCACACGCUGCCCUUGUACUGUUAUGUUACACAACCAGGACUGAUCCACCCCCCGAGGAGAGACAACGUGAUUGCUUUUAAUAAAACAGACUUGAUUUUCA